rnacentral:rRNA from 1 species
GUGAAAUGCGUAGAGAUCCGGAAGAACACCGAAGGCGCAGGCACGCUCCUGGCUCGGAGCUGACGCUCAGGUGCGAAAGCGAGGGGAGCAAACAGGAUUAGAUACCCUGGUAGUCCUCGCGGUAAACGAUGACCACUAGAUGUCCGCCGGCUCGACCCGGUGGGUGUCGUAGGUAACCCGUUAAGUGGUCCGCCUGGGGAGUACGGUCGCAAGAUUAAAACUCAAAGGAAUUGACGGGGACCCGCACAAGCAGCGGAGCGUGUGGUUUAAUUCGAUGCGACGCGCAGAACCUUACCAGGAUUUGACAUGCAUGUGCACCGUCCAGAGAUGGACGUGCCCGCAAGGGACGCAUGCACAGGUGCUGCAUGGCUGUCGUCAGCUCGUGCCGUGAGGUGUUGGGUUAAGUCCCCCAACGAGCGCAACCCUUGUCGUCGGUUGGACUUCUCCGGCGAGACCGCCACCACACAGUGGAGGAAGAUGGGGAUGACGUCAAGUCAGCACGGCCCUUACAUCCUGGGCGACACACACGCUACAAUGGCUGGCACAAACGGUGGCCAACCCGCGAGGGGGAGCUAAUCCAAGCAAAGCCAGUCUCAGUUCGGAUGGUAGGCUGCAACCCGCCUGCCUGAAGCCGGAGUUGCUAGUAACCGUGGGUCAGCACACCACGGUGAAUACGUUCCCGGGUCUUGUACACACCGCCCGUCACACCACGAAAGUCGGCAGCACUUGAAGCCGCCGGGCUAACCCUUCUUCGGGAAGGGAGGCAGGCGUCCAGGGUGAGGUCGGUGAUUGGGGUGAAGUCGUAACAAGGUAACCGU